AACGAACGCUGGCGGCAUGCCUAACACAUGCAAGUCGAACGAGACCUUCGGGUCUAGUGGCGCACGGGUGCGUAACGCGUGGGAACCUGCCUUUAGGUUCGGAAUAACUCAGAGAAAUUUGAGCUAAUACCGGAUGAUGUCUUCGGACCAAAGAUUUAUCGCCUUUAGAUGGGCCCGCGUUGGAUUAGCUAGUUGGUGGGGUAAAGGCCUACCAAGGCGACGAUCCAUAGCUGGUCUGAGAGGAUGAUCAGCCACACUGGGACUGAGACACGGCCCAGACUCCUACGGGAGGCAGCAGUGGGGAAUAUUGGACAAUGGGCGAAAGCCUGAUCCAGCAAUGCCGCGUGAGUGAUGAAGGCCUUAGGGUUGUAAAGCUCUUUUACCCGAGAUGAUAAUGACAGUAUCGGGAGAAUAAGCUCCGGCUAACUCCGUGCCAGCCGCCGCCGUAACAC
rnacentral:rRNA from 1 species